CCAAGCCUCAUUUAAGGGCUGUCUGCCACAAGGGAAGGACCUCUACCUGUCGAUUCUUCUUUUUGGAGUAUUUGAUAAGCCCUGAUCUUUGGGAUGGCAAUCCCAUUUGUGGGAUAAUAAUGAAAAAGAGCCAACGAAAGAACUGAAUCAUAGGUAGCUGAGUGCCAUCUGUUACCCAGCCUGCAAGUGAACAUUCACCUCAAACUCUUUGAUGACUACAGUUUGCCUUCUGGAGGAGGUACUACGGGGGUAAAGCCUCGCUAUGGAAAUUGGGAGUUUUGUUGUUUC